rnacentral:tRNA from 1 species
GGCAUAGUGGUGCAGUGGAUAGCACCUCACUGUCACCUCACAACAAGAAGGUUCUGAAUUCGAAUCCCAGCUGGGGCC